ACCGAGAGAAAAAACACAUCAAUAAUACGAAUUGACACCGAUUUACAACAGGUAGGUAUGGACGGACAAAAAAUAAUGACGUACGUAGACAUGUUGACCUGCGUAUGCGCACACGUGGAUAUAUUUAAGGAGUGGGAGGUACCGGCUACCAUCACACUGUUUCUAGCGCUCAGAGAGAACGCACGCGUGUUGAAAUAACAAAUAAAAUUUAUAUCGAUAAAGAUGUUUUCAAACCCGUUCGAAAGGAAGCACUCCGCGCUGAGGCAAGCUUUGGACAAGCUUAUACGAGGGGAGACAAGACUCAGUUUUACGAGGAAGACCAAACUUUCGAAGAGUAUCAGCAGCAAUUCAUCCAUGUCUUCUUCAAGCAAUGAUAGUGUGCUCAAGUUUUUUGGGAAACGAUGAAAAUCGUGGUGUGCAGUGUCUGUGAUAAUUUGCCAUGGCCCGCUCAAGAAAAAGGUCGAGUCGGGUCAUUUGAACUGGUUGCGUGACGUCAAUGCCAAGUGUAGUUGUAGGUACAUCUAUUCGUAUCGGUGUUAUUAGUCGGCGCAUUACAAAAAAUGUGAUAGACAUGAGGUUAUCAAAUAAAAUAAUACUUUGAUAAUAUU